CGCGUAGGCGGCGAGGUAAGUCGGGUGUGAAAUCUCAGAGCUCAACUCUGAAACUGCACUCGAUACUGCUCUGCUAGAGGACUGGAGAGGAGAUUGGAAUUCACGGUGUAGCAGUGAAAUGCGUAGAUAUCGUGAGGAAGACCAGUGGCGAAGGCGGAUCUCUGGACAGUUCCUGACGCUGAGGCGCGAAGGCCAGGGGAGCAAACG
rnacentral:rRNA from 1 species